UACGGAGGGUGCAAGCGUUAAUCGGAAUUACUGGGCGUAAAGGGUUCGUAGGUGGUUGGAUAAGUUAUCUGUAAAAUCCCUGGGCUUAACCUGGGCAGGUCAGAUAAGACUGUUUGACUCGAGUAUUGGAGAGGGUAGUGGAAUUUCCGGUGUAGCGGUGAAAUGCGUAGAGAUCGGAAGGAACACCAGUGGCGAAGGCGGCUACCUGGCCAAAUACUGACACUGAGGAACGAAAGCGUGGGGAGCAAACAGG
rnacentral:rRNA from 1 species